GAAACAGGCAAGGGAGUAGCAACACUUGAGAGAGGGAAGACCGGUUAAGUUUAAGGUAAUGAGCAGCCAUCCAGUUAGAAAUAGCAGAGGGGCAAUCAGAGACAUGACUCAAGAGGGGUGGUGAGAAAUCAGGGAUAGAUAGAUUUGCAUGUCAUCCCCAUAGAAAUGAUACUGGAAGCCAAAAGAGCUGAUGGGUUUACCAAGGGAGGUAGUAUAG